CAUAAUCACUUUUUCAACCAUCGGAUCGGUCAAUACUUCUAGUGUGUGUGACCCCAUAGGUUCUACUCUGACUGGUAGUGAGAUAUAUUAUGAUCUCUAUCAUAAUAUCAUUGAAAACUCCUUUCAAUGGGUUGGAACGAUUCCAACUCAACUCAUUAGGGUUUAUCGAUCAUCAAGAUAAUCCCUAUAAGUCCCACCAUCCACCAGUGACACCUAGCAGCAUGUAGUGGCUACCCAGUAGAAUAGAAAGAUGAACCUCUAGGUGCAGUUAACAUGUGAUACAGUCCUACUAUCGUGGAUCCC
rnacentral:lncRNA from 1 species